ensembl:miRNA
UAUUGGGUGGGCCAAAAAGUUCAUUCUGGUUUUUCCAUGAAAUGUCCCAAGAAACUCAAAUGAACUUUUUGGCCAAUGCAAU